GAUGAACGCUGGCGGCGUGCCUAAUACAUGCAAGUCGAGCGAACGGACGAGAAGCUUGCUUCUCUGAUGUUAGCGGCGGACGGGUGAGUAACACGUGGAUAACCUACCUAUAAGACUGGGAUAACUUCGGGAAACCGGAGCUAAUACCGGAUAAUAUUUUGAACCGCAUGGUUCAAAAGUGAAAGACGGUCUUGCUGUCACUUAUAGAUGGAUCCGCGCUGCAUUAGCUAGUUGGUAAGGUAACGGCUUACCAAGGCAACGAUGCAUAGCCGACCUGAGAGGGUGAUCGGCCACACUGGAACUGAGACACGGUCCAGACUCCUACGGGAGGCAGCAGUAGGGAAUCUUCCGCAAUGGGCGAAAGCCUGACGGAGCAACGCCGCGGGAGUGAUGAAGGUCUUCGGAUCGUAAAACUCUGUUAUUAGGGAAGAACAUAUGUGUAAGUAACUGGGCACAUCUUGACGGUACCUAAUCAGAAAGCCACGGCGAAUUACGG
rnacentral:rRNA from 1 species